CAAUAGCGUAUGUUAAAGUUGUUGCAGUUAAAAAGCUCGUAGUUGGAUUUCUGAUCGAGACAUCAGGUCGGGUCCGAGAGGAUCAUGUACUUUGAUUUUGUUUUGAUCAUCCUUGGGGAGAGCAUUUCUGGCAUUCAGUUGUCGGGAUUGGGAUCCUCAUCGUUUACUGUGAAAAAAUUAGAGUGUUCAAAGCAGGCCUCGGCCUCUGAAUACAUUAGCAUGGAAUAAUAAGAUGGGACUUUGGUGGUCUAUUUUGUUGGUUUGCACGCCAAAGUAAUGAUUAAUAGGGAUAGUUGGGGGUAUUCGUAUUCAAUUGUCAGAGGUGAAAUUCUUGGAUUUAUGGAAGACGAACUACUGCGAAAGCAUUUACCAAGGAUGUUUUCAUUAA
rnacentral:rRNA from 1 species